UACGUAGGGUGCAAGCGUUGUCCGGAAUUAUUGGGCGUAAAGAGCUCGUAGGCGGUCUGUCGCGUCUGCUGUGAAAACUCAGGGCUUAACCCUGAGCUUGCAGUGGGUACGGGCAGACUAGAGUGCGGUAGGGGAGGCUGGAAUUCCAGGUGUAGCGGUGAAAUGCGUAGAUAUCUGGAGGAACACCGGUGGCGAAGGCGGCAUCCGGGACCGGCAUUGACGCUGAGGAGCGAAAGCCAGGGGAGCAAACGGG
rnacentral:rRNA from 1 species